GAUGGACGCUGGCGGCGUGCCUAAUACAUGCAAGUCGAGCGAACAGACGAGGAGCUUGCUCCUCUGACGUUAGCGGCGGACGGGUGAGUAACACGUGGAUAACCUACCUAUAAGACUGGGAUAACUUCGGGAAACCGGAGCUAAUACCGGAUAAUAUAUUGAACCGCAUGGUUCAAUAGUGAAAGACGGUCUUGCUGUCACUUAUAGAUGGAUCCGCGCCGCAUUAGCUAGUUGGUAAGGUAACGGCUUACCAAGGCAACGAUGCGUAGCCGACCUGAGAGGGUGAUCGGCCACACUGGAACUGAGACACGGUCCAGACUCCUACGGGAGGCAGCAGUAGGGAAUCUUCCGCAAUGGGCGAAAGCCUGACGGAGCAACGCCGCGUGAGUGAUGAAGGUCUUCGGAUCGUAAAACUCUGUUAUUAGGGAAGAACAAAUGUGUAAGUAACUAUGCACGUCUUGACGGUACCUAAUCAGAAAGCCACGGCUAACUACGUG
rnacentral:rRNA from 1 species